rnacentral:lncRNA from 1 species
GCGGACUCCGGAGAAGCCCUGGCGGCCGUCACCCCACCCGCCCGCAGUCCUCCUUACCCGCAGGGAAGCUGCGGGCCCCGCUGGGGCUGUCCCGGCCGCCAGCCUCCGGGGCCAGGAAACGGCCCCACAUAGCGGGCGAGCGGGCGAGCCUGGAGCUCGGGGCCCGCGGUCGCCUCGGCUUCUGGGCGGAAACUUGAGCGGAGCCUGGGCCUCGGCAGCGCGGACCGGACCCGGGCGGGGGGCUUAACGGCUGUUCAGCGACGGCCCCGGAGCGCGGCGGCUGCCAUGGCCCAGCCGGCUGCGCUGAGGCCCGGGCCGGGGAAGCUAGUAGCUCCCCGGUGACGGCGGCGCGAUCGCAGGCUCCGGGGCUCAAAGCGAAUCUGCAGCUGCGGCUUCUCUCAGCCCCCUCCGCCCGGCAGAACCUUAGGCAGCGGGCCGGGCCAGGACAGGCGGGGCCUGGAUGGGGCUGGGGGCGGGGCCCAGAGGGCGGGGCCUCAAGGCGGGGCCUGGGACUCUUGGCGAACCAAAAACCUAUUGCUAACAGCAUGCGGGUGAUCAUCCUGAAGCCGCUCCCUACUUCUCCAUCCUGUUACCUUCAAGCUGAGAGAGGGUCCAUAAUUUAAUCCCAAACCCUGUCUUCCUAUACGUGCUUUCUAGGGGCACAGUUGUUAUAAAAGGUGCGAGUUGUCCCUGCAACCGCUUCAAGGGGCUGUGGGGCUAGCCAUCUGACUCAGAAUGGAGAUCAGAAUUAAAAUUGUUGUCAUGCGUUCCACAAGCACCGGUUAUGGAUCACGGUGGGAAUAGAAAAGAGGACAUCCCUGCCUCCCACAUCUGCUCCACUUUAUUUCCCACCCUUCCUAGGAACAGACAUCCUGAGAAAAGACAAAGGAAUACAGCAUCCUCUUGCAAUUACUCUUGUUGGCAAUAUAAUCAUUUGAAUAUUUAGAUACAAACUAAACACUGUCAACCACUGUACAAGGAGGCAGUCUCAGCAUGCCAAUCAGAAGUAACCCAGACGAUAAGUUCCUUAGGCUUUGAGUCCAGUGAUGUUUUUCCUAAUGUGGAAACUGCUAACAAAAGCUUAAUAUUGAUGUAUCCUCAAGUAAAAUACUACUUAAAGCUUGUGAGGCUUACAUUUAAAAAUGUGUGCUAUAACUCACCACAUUUGCUGAAAUGUACCAAACCGUGGUUAUACAUCUAGUCUCCUUCCUGUAGAUCUGCAGAUAUUUCUCCAAAUCUUCAGAUGUUGGUCAACCGUCAAAUGAUUCUGAUGCUAGAAGGUGACAGAAAUAUGAAAAUAUAACGAGAUGGCUCUUUAUCUGAUCUAAAAUGUAUCUAAUUAUUUAUUGACAGUUGAAAAGGAUGGGGAAAAAAACAUUAACAGUUCCACAAAGAAAAAUAUCGAAAGUAAAAAUACUAUAUCUACAAAUACAUCUUUUCAUAAUUUGUAGUUUAACAAAAAGCCCAAAUUCGCUGGAAACUUGAUGUGUAACCCAGGCUGCCCUCAAACUCCUGGUUCUCCUGCUUUAGCCUCCUCUGUGCUUUCUAGAAAGAAAGAAAAAGGAGAAAGAAAGAAAGAAAGAAAGAAAGAAAGAAAGAAAGAAAGAAAGAAAGAAAGAAAGAGAGAGAGAGAGAGAGAGAGAGGAAGGAAGGAAGGAAGGAAGGAAGGAAGGAAGGAAGGAAGGAAGGAAGAAAGAAAGAAAGGGAGGGAGGGAGUAAGAAGGAAAGAAAGGUUCCGGUCGCUUAGAGAUUCUUAAACAUUUAAAACUCACAACCUCAUAACCCCUUUUGUCCAAGAAACUUUUAUACAACACUGGAUGACUAGAUAAAUAAAAUGGUGUUCAAGGCAAAUGUUUGCUUAUAUUAUAAAUUUAUUUUAAUAAAUUAUUUAUUACAUAUACAAAUUUACCAUUCAUUAAAGAUGAAAACACUCUG